AAAAUAUACAUAAUUUAUAUAUAUAGAUUAAUCUUCCAAACUUAAACUAUUAUAUUAUAUAUGAAUAAUGUUUUUAAAUAAAAAUAAUUUCUGAUUUAAAAAAAAAAUAAAAAACAACAAAUGGUUAUUUUCGAAUAAUGGAUAUAAUUUACAUUAUACUAUCAUUUACCAAGUAUUAGAUACGUUUUGAUAUAUCAUUAUUUUCUAUUUCCAGAAAACAAUAAAUUGUUAAACAUCAAUAUCAUCUAGGUUAAGUAUACGGACAACACAAAUUCAAACAUCACAAAAAAUAUUUACAUAAACAUUAUAAUACAAUAAUUUAAUCAAAAAAUACAAUUAAAAAAGAAUAGUUAUAUACUUAAUAUCUGAAAAUCAAAGAUAUUUUUGCUAAAAUUGUACUUACCUGGCCAAGGAGAUCGACCAUCUUUUUACGGAUCGAUUGAUUGUUGAGCAUGUGGUCGAUCCGAAAAUACUUAACAGUUUAAUUUAAUAUCUAAAACGUUUUUGUUAACACUCAACAUAUAGUUUUGCUAAAUAUGAUAACUAGAUAGCCAACAAAAUUACAAAAAAUAUUUAAAUAGUAAAAAAUAUGUUAAUUUAACGUGUUAAAAUUUAAAAAUAAAUUUUAAUUAUGACAUGCAUCUUAACAUUUAUAUAAAUAUAUAUCAUAACCUAAAUAUAAAUAAUUUAACAUCUUAAAUUAGAAAAAAAAUAAAAACGCCCGGGCGUAGCCCGGGUUAAUCCCUAGUUAUAUCCAAAUAAUAGUAGUUUAGUGGUAAGGGCUGAGGAUAAAGGGGAAACAAAAUUGAUACUAUUUGGAUAGACAAUAAUGAAGCUACGCUUUCAAUUUCCUUUGAAAAAAAAAAAAAAAAAUUCCUUUGAAAGCAUAGAGCUUGGUCGUUGAUAUUGUUUUUUUUAGAAAGUAGUUGGACCUCGGUUUAAAUACCCUAAAACAUAUAGAUUAUUAGAUUUUUGAGAAAUUAUAAUUGAAGUAAGGUAAAAGAGUAACAUGUUAUUUAAAAAAUAUUUUGGUGGAAUACUCGUGGGCAUGCUAAACAACCGUAACUCUUUUUUUCCGUACUUUGGUCUUGGAUAUCUUCGCAUGAACUUCUGUACCAAAUAUUUUCUAUCGGCUGACACAUUUAGAAUGUUACAGAAUGGACUGGUUCAAAUUGUAUGAUCCGAGUAUAAAAUGCUUUCCAACUAAUAUCAGAAAAUAGACUGAUAAUCU
rnacentral:lncRNA from 1 species